rnacentral:rRNA from 1 species
GAUGAACGCUGGCGGCGUGCCUAAUACAUGCAAGUCGAGCGAACGGACGAGAAUCUUUCUUCUCUGAUGUUAGCGGCGGGCGGGUGUUUAACACGUGGAUAACCUACCUAUAAGUCUUGGAUAACUUCGGUAAACCGUAUCUAAUACCGGUUUAUAUUUUGAACCGCAUUGUUCAAAAGUGAAAGACGUUCUUUCUGUCACUUAUUGAUUGAUCCUCUCUGCAUUAGCUAGUUGGUAAGGUAACGGCUUACCAAGGCAACGAUGCAUAGCCGACAUGAGAGGGAGAUCGGCCACACAGGAACUGAGACACGGUACAGACUACUACGGGAGGCAGCAGUAGGGAAUCUUCCGCAAUGGGCGAAAGCCUGACGGAGCAACGCCGCGUGAGUGAUGAAGGUCUUCGGAUCGUAAAACUCUGUUAUUAGGGAAGAACAUAUGUGUAAGUAACUGUGCACAUCUUGACGGUAACUAAUCAGAAAGCAACGGCUAACUACGUG